UUCCAUUCCCCACUCCCCGCUGACUGCUGAGUGCUGAGUCAGCACUCCCCUUUCCAUUCCCCACUCCCUGCCCGACACUCCACCCUUCCCCUUUCCCUUUCCCCUUCCCCUUUCGCCAAAUCAUAGCCGAUUAAGAAAUCGAUUUCACUCUCCACUCUCCACUCUCCACUCACCUGCAGCCACAUCCAUACUUGUUAGUUGUUACUUAGCAAUCAACCCUACAUUGCACGAGCAAGGUGAUUUGAAGCUUCGAGUUCGAACUCUGGAGGCUGAGAGGGCAUUCCAGCGUGUUGCAGCUGUUCAUAAGACAGUAGGGAGUGUACCAGCCACUGCAACAUCCAUCCUUUGUGCAUUUUUCAGUUUCUAAGUUCUCUUUGGCAUUAUAAAGGUGAAAAGGUUAGAUCAACUGGAAAGGUUAAUAACAGGAACUGCUUAACCUAAGUAAGUAUACUCUUUUGUAUUAUGCAUCUUUCUCAGAAAAAGGAGGAAAGCUUCUGCUAGACAGAGAAUGUAAGAAAUACACACUAGGUGUUGGCAAGUGUCCUGUUCUGUGUCCUCUUUCAUUACCUUUCUGUCUAAGAGCAUUUGAUGAAUGAUAAUGCCAAUUCCUUGCAAUUCUUCUACUAAGCUGGGUUUAUCCUGGUGUGAGAGUGAGUUGUUCCAUUUAUGAAAACAUUUUGGAUGUAUGUUGAGACUUGUUUACAAUAGGAUUUUGUCCUGCGUUUGUUUUUA